GGUUGUAUAUGUCCAGGAAUUUAUCCAUUUUUCUCUAGGUUUUCUAACUUGUUGGCAUAUCAUUGUUUGUAAUAGUCUCUAAUGAUCUUCUAUAUUUCUGUGGUAUCACCUGUAAUGUCUCCCUUCUCAUUUCUAAUUAUAUGUCACACUGAUUGAUUUGCAUAUGUUGAGCAACCCAUGAAUCACUGGGAUAAAUACCUGGGAUCAUGGUGUAUUAUUUUUUUGAUGUGCUGUUGGAUUUGCCUUGCUAGUAUUUUGUUGAGGAUUUUUGCAUUGUGCAUCUAUGUUCAUCAGGGCUAUUAGUCUACAGUUUUUUUAGUGGUUGUUUUACAUUCUUAUCUGAUUUUAGCUUGCGGGUAAUUCUGGCCUUGUAGAAUGAAUUAGAAAGAAUUGUUUCCUCUCCAAUGUUUGAAAUAGUUUGAGGAGAAUUG
rnacentral:lncRNA from 1 species